GAUGAAGAACGUAGUGAAAUGCGAUAAGUAAUGUGAAUUGCAGAAUUCAGUGAAUCAUCGAAUCUUUGAACGCACAUUGCGCCCGCCAGUAUUCUGGCGGGCAUGCCUGUUCGAGCGUCAUUUCAACCAUCAAGCCCCCGGCUUGUGUUGGGGACCUGCGGCUGCCGCAGGCCCAGAAAAGCAGUGGCGGGCUCGCUGUCACACCGAGCGUAGUAGAUUUUAUCUCGCUCAGGGCGUGCUGCGGGUUCCGGCCGUUAAACCACCUUCAUAACCCAAGGUUGACCUCGGAUCAGGUAGGAAGACCCGCUGAACUUAAGCAUAUCAAUAAGCGGAGGA
rnacentral:misc_RNA from 1 species